rnacentral:rRNA from 1 species
AGUGAACGCUGGCGGUAGGCCUAACACAUGCAGGUCGAACGGCAGCACAGUAAGAGCUUGCUCUUACGGGUGGCGAGUGGCGGACGGGUGAGGAAUACAUCGGAAUCUACUUUUUCGUGGGGGAUAACGUAGGGAAACUUACGCUAAUACCGCAUACGACCUGCGGGUGAAAGCAGGGGAUCUUCGGACCUUGCGCGAUUGAAUGAGCCGAUGUCGGAUUAGCUAGUUGGCGGGGUAAAGGCCCACCAAGGCGACGAUCCGUAGCUGGUCUGAGAGGAUGAUCAGCCACACUGGAACUGAGACACGGUCCAGACUCCUACGGGAGGCAGCAGUGGGGAAUAUUGGACAAUGGGCGCAAGCCUGAUCCAGCCAUACCGCGUGGGUGAAGAAGGCCUUCGGGUUGUAAAGCCCUUUUGUUGGGAAAGAAAAGCAGCAGGUUAAUACCCCGCUGUUCUGACGGUACCCAAAGAAUAAGCACCGGCUAACUUCGUG